CUUGAUCGAGCCCAGCAGCAGCGGCCGGUCGUCGGGGCGGUCCUGCCCGUACGUCGCGAGCAGCGCCUGCGCCUC
rnacentral:antisense_RNA from 1 species